UACGAAGGGGGCUAGCGUUGUUCGGAUUUAUUGGGCGUAAAGAGCGUGUAGGCGGUCUGGUAGGUCCGUUGUGAAAACUCGAGGCUCAACCUCGAGACGCCGAUGGAAACCCUCAGACUAGAGUCCGGAAGAGGAGAGUGGAAUUCCUGGUGUAGCGGUGAAAUGCGCAGAUAUCAGGAAGGACACCCGUGGCUAAGGCGGCUCUCUAGUACGGUACUGACGCUGAGACGCGAAAGCGUGGGGAGCGAACAGG
rnacentral:rRNA from 1 species